rnacentral:rRNA from 1 species
AACGAACGCUGGCGGCAUGCCUAACACAUGCAAGUCGAACGCGUGUAGCAAUACACGAGUGGCGGACGGGUGAGUAACGCGUGGGAACCUGCCCAAUGGUAGGGAAUAACUGCGGGAAACUGCAGCUAAUACCCUAUGCUCCCUACGGGGGAAAGAUUUAUCGCCAUUGGAGGGGCCCGCGUCGGAUUAGCUAGUUGGCGGGGUAACGGCCCACCAAGGCUACGAUCCGUAGCUGGUCGAGAGGAUGAUCAGCCACACUGGGACUGAGAUACGGCCCAGACUCCUACGGGAGGCAGCAGUGGGGAAUAUUGGACAAUGGGGGAAACCCUGAUCCAGCAAUGCCGCGUGAGUGAAGAAGGCCUUAGGGUUGUAAAGCUCUUUCGGCGGGGACGAUGGUGACGGUACCCGCAGAAGAAGCCCCGGCUAACUCCGUGCCAGCCGCCGCGGUAAC